UUUCCUGUGGCCUGAUGUGCUACUUCCUAAUUCACUUAUUGUAAGAGUCUCGUCUCUUUUCUCACACUCGCUGCAAUGGAGUUGAUCGUUUUCAUUGCUUUUCCGCUCCUGAUGGAGGUUCAGUCUCACAAGUCUCCUCCUACUGUAAAAGUAUCUCCAGAUGUCAUAAGAGAGUCCAGCUCAGUGAAGAUCAGCUGUGAGACACCAGAAGGUCCUCCAGUGAAUCAGUGUUAUUUCUACAUAAACAGAGAAGAGAAUAACAUAAAAUCCAACUGGAAAUGUGAGCUGGAUCUCUCUGGUGCUGAAGUGCUCAGAUGGGCAGCUGUAAAAUCACCUGGAUUACUCAACAUUUACUGUUACUACACAAUACAGGGGAUUGAUAAACCAUCGCCUCAUUCUCCUCCUGCCACAGUGACGGUUCAAGUUUCAACAUCAGCCACCACCACUGAACAAACUACUACAACAGCCAUGAAAACCUCAUUACCUGUAAUGUCCACUUCUGAAACCAUAACAUACAGUACAACUGACCUCGAUUCCAAGACAAACCUGUCAACAAGUACGACAAAGGAAAUCACGAUUUCCAUUACAAACUGCACUUUGCCUGGUAACAGUAGAACAUCAGAACAUACAGAAACAUCCACUCAAAAAGCUUCGCAAAUAGACACAUUUUCAAUUUCAGCAAAAAUGGCUAUCACUUUCACAACAGCAUCCCCCAGAACAGCUGUUUCUAGUGUUCACACGUCAAUGGCUCAUCCAGAUCCACACAGAGAUAUAUGGUUUAUAGUGCUGGUUUCCACUGCUGUUGCUGUAAUUUUGUCUGGACUCACAGGACUCAUCUGUCUGUGCCGGUUUGCAAGUAAAAAAAGAAGAAAACAAUUAAUAAAAACGGAAGUGUCCAGUCAAGGAAUUGGUAUGAGUUGUUCUGGAUCUGUAGCGAUAUAUUCUCUGAUCACUUCUGUACCAGAAACAUCUCAGCCCAUAUCUGGAGGCCUUGAACACCCAGAGUCACAUCAGGACAGCACAGCAGAUCCCACAGACAUUCACUCUUUCAUUAUGUCUGUAAAUUCAAUUUACCAGCCAUCGGGUAAUGCAAUGUUUCCCUCAUUAAAGUGGUCAUAUUAUGACCCAGAAGGCACAAAACAGGCACACAACGUCAUAAGACUUUUAACGUCAUAAAAGUUCAAUUUCGGUCGCGACAUUGGGUGACCAAAAUUCAAUGUAAAUUCAACGUCUAAUGUCAAUGUUAAAUUGAUGCCCAAUAUCGGCGUCAGCUGACAUUGACAUUUUGUUGUUUUUAGGUUGUGCAACUAAAAUCCAACGUUAAGUCAACGUCAAAUAUUGACGUCAACCCAAUUUUCAUUUUCAACCAAAAUGCAACGUCUGUCCGACGUCAUGUCCAACGUCAACCUGACGUUACAUAGACGUCUGGUGCCUGCUGGGGAGGAAUCAAAUCUUUAUGUUCACAUAAGAGUUGUUAAUAUAGACCUACUAUGAAAACAAACUAUGGUUUCACAACUCAAAACUUCCUCUGUAUUCCAAAAUCUACAUUUUUAGUGCCUACAUUUAGAAGGUGAGAUACUUAGCCUCCCAAUCAUGCUGAGCUAAUAUGGAGGAAGUUGGACAAAUAUUAAAUUCAUCACAACACUGAUGCACAGAAUGAUUCUGAGAGAUGAUUCUGCUGUGUCAAAGCUUAACAUGUAUUAAAAUUUUAUGAGAAAGAGCUUGUUCAUCAAGGUCAACAUGUUUAAUGCUUCUGCAUUGCAUUACAGAUGCUUUGGUCAAUGAACAACAGAAAAGAGGAAGUCCAGAGGAAAAUGAGAAUGUUUAUCACCUGUACU